GGCAUUGUACUUCGUGAGUUAUAAAGUUUCUAGAGAUGAGUUUUGAAGAUGUGAUUUUACUUAAUAAAGAUAAGUGUUAUCUACUGAUGCUGGAGCUGAGGCUAUUACAAAGCUAAAGUGAAAUUAUGGUCCUCAAGUCCAAGUAUGAACAUUUACACAAUGAAUUGGACUUUGAUUUAAAAAAACGAAGUACCACAAUUGAGGCGAAGUCAAUAGUCCCAUGAAGUCUCAUUCCAAGAUGUAGCUUUGACAAAGAAGAGAAGUCCCAUUUUAGGACGAAUCCUGUACACAUAAUGUCCAACAAUAUAGUAAUCACAUUUCUGGGUUGAGUUGAUUAAAGCUUGUAAGUUGAUGCGAAAUUUAGUAACGUACGUCCAAUAUUUUUCGCUAUUAUCAAUGAAGGUAAUAGAAUAUAUUUUCUUAAACAAGUAUUUAUGUCUGAGGCUAGCUAAGAGGUACAGGAUACGAAGUGACGAGAAGCAUGCUGGUAAUCUUGGCAUAGUGUGUUCCUAAAGUUGAAAUGACGAUUGCAAUUAAUCAUGAUGAUUGGACAAUUGAGGCAUUUUAUUUCUAAGGUGAUGCGCCCCGCAUGCGUAUGAGAGCGCGAUUCAAUCUGGGUCUCAGUUUGAAUCACUGUUUGGAGCAUUUUACUGUUCGAUGGCUAAAUUAGAUGAGGCAAUGAAAGGCCAUAAUCAAUCUUGAAUUGCUUCAAUAGCUAGGAUGAGCCCGUCUCGCCGAUAUAAGGGCUUAAAGGUUCACAUCAAACCCUUUUACUUUGCUACCCUAACAUUGUUCAAACUUGAGAGAAUUUCAGCAAGAAAAAUGCAUCUUGUGGAAAAGAAAGAAGCUCUGGCCUCGCAAAAUCCCAAAACUUGGCGACCAAGCUUGGAGCUUUAAUUAUGAAGUCUUAAAAUUUCAUUCUUAAAUCCCAUUUCCUUCUUGAAAAUCAUUUCCAACUACAGCGGCAUCAAUUUCCCUACCGACGAGAAAUCUAUGUCUGAAAAAUCCCCAAGUUUGGAAGUGUUGGAGGGUAGGCAAGAGUUAUAGAAAGCGUUUGCAAAUAUGUCCGGAGUGAUGCCUCCCAAUUCGUGAAUGUUGAUGCAUAGCUAGAGUUAGCUAUAGUGUCGGUUAAUGAAGCUAAACCAAGAGGGGUUGGCUCGAUGGGUUGGCGAAAGCUACAAGUCCCAUUAUCAAAUGAGAAUAUAUAUAGGAAAGAAUGAAACUAAGUCUUUUGGAUGUUUGGCAAGCUUGCAUCAUCUCAACAACGAAUAAUUCAAGUGUCAAGAAGUCACAUUCUAGUCAUCAUAGGCAUGUAACCUUCCACAUAUUAUCCUAGAUGAAAAAGAGUGAAUUUGACUUUCAAUCGCCUUAAUAGAGAUGUUAGAUCAAUCAAGUCGAAUGUUGCUCAAUGUGUCAAGAUACAGCUUGCAUAGUGUAUUAGGGAUCAAAUCCCAACUGCUUCAGACUCUAAAGGAGCAUCUAAUCUGGUAAGGGAUUAGGUCCACACAGAGCGCUCGGAGAGGGAAAGUGCCUAGUCUGCACAAAGUUAUGUCUUCUUGGGGGCAAUUGUCCACAAGAUGUUGGACGAUGCCCACAAAGCCCCGAAAGUGAUAGUUGAUGUGGAGAUGGAAUGGGACUUCAUCACCUCUAAGACAGUUGUCAACGAGGCACUGGGCGGUGAUUUCAAUGUUGUGUGACAUUUUGCUUAACUGAUAGUUAUUUGACAUGUUAAUAGAGACGUGACAAUAUAUUUAUUAAAAUAGAAUCAUCUACAAUAACUAAUAAGCAAGGAUUGAGAAGAAACUUUUGAUUACCAAUUUUAUUCUUAUAUUUUUUUUUCUUUUGACAACAUUGCCCUUAAUUAUGAAUGUAC
rnacentral:lncRNA from 1 species